ACUCCACGCUGGUCGAUGUGUCGUUGCGACUGCCGCGUUACAAGCGCGAAGAAGGCGGGGCACGCGCUCGUGCGAUGCGGUUGCUGGAGUUC
rnacentral:tRNA from 1 species